GAUGAACGCUGGCGGCGUGCCUAAUACAUGCAAGUCGAGCGAACAGACGAGGAGCUUGCUCCUCUGACGUUAGCGGCGGACGGGUGAGUAACACGUGGAUAACCUACCUAUAAUACUGGGAUAACCUCGGGAAACCGGAGCUAAUACCGGAUAAUAUAUUGAACCGCAUGGUUCAAUAGUGAAAGACGGUUUUGCUGUCACUUAUAGAUGGAUCCGCGCCGCAUUAGCUAGUUGGUAAGGUAACGGCUUACCAAGGCAACGAUGCGUAGCCGACCUGAGAGGGUGAUCGGCCACACUGGAACUGAGACACGGUCCAGACUCCUACGGGAGGCAGCAGUAGGGAAUCUUCCGCAAUGGGCGAAAGCAUGACGGAGCAACGCCGCGUGAGUGAUGAAGGUCUUCGGAUCGUAAAACUCUGUUAUUAGGGAAGAACAAAUGUGUAAGUAACUAUGCACGUCUUGACGGUACCUAAUCAGAAAGCCACGGCUAACUACGUG
rnacentral:rRNA from 1 species